GACCUAGCGGCGGACGGGUGAGUAAUGCUUAGGAAUCUGCCUAUUAGUGGGGGACAACAUUCCGAAAGGAAUGCUAAUACCGCAUACGCCCUACGGGGGAAAGCAGGGGAUCUUCGGACCUUGCGCUAAUAGAUGAGCCUAAGUCAGAUUAGCUAGUUGGUGGGGUAAAGGCCUACCAAGGCGACGAUCUGUAGCGGGUCUGAGAGGAUGAUCCGCCACACUGGGACUGAGACACGGCCCAGACUCCUACGGGAGGCAGCAGUGGGGAAUAUUGGACAAUGGGCGAAAGCCUGAUCCAGCCAUGCCGCGUGUGUGAAGAAGGCCUUUUGGUUGUAAAGCACUUUAAGCGAGGAGGAGGCUACUUGGAUUAAUACUCUAGGAUAGUGGACGUUACUCGCAGAAUAAGCACCGGCUAACUCUGUGCCAGCAGCCGCGGUAAUACAGAGGGUGCGAGCGUUAAUCGGAUUUACUGGGCGUAAAGCGUGCGUAGGCGGCUUCUUAAGUCGGAUGUGAAAUCCCUGAGCUUAACUUAGGAAUUGCAUUCGAUACUGGGAAGCUAGAGUAUGGGAGAGGAUGGUAGAAUUCCAGGUGUAGCGGUGAAAUGCGUAGAGAUCUGGAGGAAUACCGAUGGCGAAGGCAGCCAUCUGGCCUAAUACUGACGCUGAGGUACGAAAG
rnacentral:rRNA from 1 species